rnacentral:rRNA from 1 species
CCUACGGGAGGCAGCAGUGAGGAAUAUUGGUCAAUGGUCGGGAGACUGAACCAGCCAAGCCGCGUGAGGGAGGAAGGUACAGAGUAUCGUAAACCUCUUUUGUCAGGGAACAAAGGCGGGGACGUGUCCCCGGAUGAGUGUACCUGAAGAAAAAGCAUCGGCUAACUCCGUGCCAGCAGCCGCGGUAAUACGGAGGAUGCGAGCGUUAUCCGGAUUUAUUGGGUUUAAGGGGUGCGCAGGCGGUCUGUAAAGGCAGCGGUCAAAGCCCGGGGCCAAACCCCGGCCCGCCGUUGAAACUGGCAGUCUUGAGUUGGAGAGAAGCAUGCGGAAUGCGGGGUGUAGCGGUGAAAUGCAUAGAUAUCGCGCAGAACUCCGAUUGCGAAGGCAGCUUGCCGGCUCCACACUGACGCUGAGGCACGAAAGCGUGGGUAUCGAACAGGAUUAGAUACCCCUGUAGUC